rnacentral:rRNA from 1 species
UUGUAAGAGAAGAACGAGUGUGAGAGUGGAAAGUUCACACUGUGACGGUAACUUACCAGAAAGGGACGGCUAACUACGUGCCAGCAGCCGCGGUAAUACGUAGGUCCCGAGCGUUGUCCGGAUUUAUUGGGCGUAAAGCGAGCGCAGGCGGUUAGAUAAGUCUGAAGUUAAAGGCUGUGGCUUAACCAUAGUACGCUUUGGAAACUGUUUAACUUGAGUGCAGAAGGGGAGAGUGGAAUUCCAUGUGUAGCGGUGAAAUGCGUAGAUAUAUGGAGGAACACCGGUGGCGAAAGCGGCUCUCUGGUCUGUAACUGACGCUGAGGCUCGAAAGCGUGGGGAGCAAACAGGAUUAGAUACCCUGGUAGUCCACGCCGUAAACGAUGAGUGCUAGGUGUUGGGUCCUUUCCGGGACUCAGUGCCGCAGCUAACGCAUUAAGCACUCCGCCUGGGGAGUACGACCGCAAGGUUGAAACUCAAAGGAAUUGACGGGGGCCCGCACAAGCGGUGGAGCAUGUGGUUUAAUUCGA